rnacentral:rRNA from 1 species
GAUGAACGCUGGCGGCGUGCCUAAUACAUGCAAGUCGAGCGAACGGACGAGAAGCUUGCUUCUCUGAUGUUAGCGGCGGACGGGUGAGUAACACGUGGAUAACCUACCUAUAAGACUGGGAUAACUUCGGGAAACCGGAGCUAAUACCGGAUAAUAUUUUGAACCGCAUGGUUCAAAAGUGAAAGACGGUCUUGCUGUCACUUAUAGAUGGAUCCGCGCUGCAUUAGCUAGUUGGUAAGGUAACGGCUUACCAAGGCAACGAUGCAUAGCCGACCUGAGAGGGUGAUCGGCCACACUGGAACUGAGACACGGUCCAGACUCCUACGGGAGGCCGCCGUAGGGAAUCUUCCGCAAUGGGCGAAAGCCUGACGGAGCAACGCCGCGUGAGUGAUGAAGGUCUUCGGAUCGUAAAACUCUGUUAUUAGGGAAGAACAUAUGUGUAAGUAACUGUGCACAUCUUGACGGUACCUAAUCAGAAAGCCACGGCUAACUACGUG